CAGAGACAUAACUUUCUGCAGUACCAGCUGCAGCUCUGGGUUCCAUUUCCCUUGGAAAUAGGAUGGGAGAAAGAGACAGGUAACGGACUGGAAUUAGGAGACUGAGGUGAAACUGUAGAGAAUAAUGGUUAGAAGUACAUGUGCCGGAUUCUCUCAUUAAGGAAAUAUUCAUGAGUCAACUAUCCAGAAUCAUAGUUAUUAUUCAAGCGGUGUGGGUUUAAAAGGAGAUUUGAUGCCAUGGCAAACCUCACUGACUUAGACUGUUCUUCAAGUUAAAGAGCAGGAUGAUGUCUGAAGUGACUGAAACACAUAUGGCUUCAGUGUGUCAAGAAGACCUGAAAGAUCCCACAUGGAAGUGAAAUUCAUUAUUGGCAAGCACAGUGACAGGAGACCCCAGAGGGCUGAGCCACAAAGAAUUUGCAGAGCCGCAUGGCUAACUCCAUGGCCUAGUUUGAUCUUGAAGUUAUUGUCUUGGAUAAUCCUCUCCAAUCUGUUCCUGCACUUAAGAGCUAUUCAGCACAUGAUGGAGCUCCCUCUCAGGUUCCUUUACAUCGUCCUGUCAGGGAAGACUUUCGGGGAACACAGACAUCACAUCAAAUCAUCCAACAGAUGUCCCUUUCAAAUAAGUUGGAGUGGAACCAACUAUAUGGAGAAGUCAUAAACAAGGAAACAGACAACCUAGUGAUUUUUAGUGCAUUGGCACUGCUCUUUGCACAGAAACCUCAGUCUCCGGGGUGGAUGAACAUUUCAAGUGUGUGUGUGUGUACUGUGUGGACUGACUCUUGCCCUGCUCAGGCUCAUGCUGCUGACAGGGGAUACAGGAGACACUUUGGAGUCCAAAUCCUGCAUCAUCUCAAUGAAGUGCAAUGUCACAGCUCUAAGUAA